CUCAGCCUCUACAAUUUUGUGAGUAAAACAAAACAUCAAAAGUGAUAACGAAUAUUUGACAACGUUUUUAACAGGAGAGGAAAAAACUGUGUGUAUACUGCAGUAAAUAUUUUGGCUUUUUUCAUCACUAGCGGUUGAGGAAAGGUCCUGUAACAACUUAUCUUGUGGCCACCUAACAACACAGGUCAACUUCUUGAAGACACAGUUAUCCUAGAACCUACUAGCACCUAGUCCAGGAGCUAGUAACCAGCUAGUAGCUAGCAUCUAGUAGUAACCAGAGUAACCAUGAUUAGACCACCCACAUACGAGACCGUUAGCAAGAAGAAGAAGUCAUUAUUAACAAUAUAACCUCUAUUUUUAUGUAUGCUAUAUAUCCUAUUCGUUAUAAGUCAAAAUAUAGCUAUACGAGGGUAUUAACUAUUAACAGAGUGAACACAGGGUAUGUUUACUGUACUUAGUUAAUUCUACAGGUAGAUUUACAAGAAGUAGGUAUAAACACUUCAUGGUAUAAAUUGUUCAUUUUAUAUUUGAUAAUAAUAAUAUUAAUAUAGUAUGGUACGGUACAUACCUGAUUCUUGCUUAACGUAGGUACAUUUGACUACCUAUUCAGGAUGUAUUUUAUAUUUAUAUUGUCCAUAUUGCAGGGUAUUAACGGUGUAUAUGUAUGUGAUAAGUUAGGGUUUUUUGUCUUAAGAGGAAACAGUAGCAAUCAACAGGAAGCAAAAACGCGUUCGAAGAUUGCGGCUGUAAUUUUCAAUAUUUUUUAGAGAUAUUUGGCACACGUAUUCGCAAUAUAAUAAAGAAUGGCGGUACAGAGCUCAAUUUGAAAAAUAUAUUAAUAUGUAGAAAUUACUCUGUAAUUAAAUACAAUAUUAAAAAAACGAGCCUGUACCGCCAUUAAGAAGAACAAAAAAAUACACUUUCUUCAAAUAAACUUUUUUAUCGGAUGCCUAGAUUUUGUGUCAUUUUAGAACUACUAAAAUUUUUUAUUUCAUUAGUAGUUCCAAAAUGACACAAAAUCUAGGCACCGGAUAAAAAAGUUUAUUUGAAGAAAGUGUAUUUUUUUGUUCUUCUUAACCCGUUUUCUACUAGCGUAACCGUAUGGUCACACUAAAUGGCCCUUCUUAAAUAUACAACAUUGAACACAUACAGCGAUAUAAGCAACUAGUUACACGACCAUGCAGACUAGAGACAUCUACUUAACGAAUUACAUACUCAAUACCUGAUCUAUUUGCUUGCAAGGUAGUGUUAUAGUUAUUAUUUGGUGGUGUUACAACGAGAAAGAAUCAAAAUGACGUUCGCUUUGAGUAAGUAAUAUUUAAUAAUCUUAUUUUUAAAGAUGCCAAAAAUAUUUUUGGAAAAAUAGGAUCUACAGGAAUUCGUUUAAGACAUAUUUACACAAUUUAUUACAAACGUAUUCUAUCAAUUGUGGCAGAGCUGCUAGUAUUUGAUUGUGACCUUAUGGUCACAUAGGGAUAAUAUGUGAUAAAUUAUAGGUUUUCUUUUUUUUUUCUUUUUAGUUCCGGUUUUAUACUAGAAAAAGCACUGACUAUGUGAUAUGACGACGAAAAUAUAGAAAAUGUGGAACAUCUGUGUUUAGUUUUCCUCCAGAUGUUCAUGAGAGCACGGAUGAAGAUUCCGGAGAUGAAGAUGGUGGUGGUUUAGUUGGCCAUUUGUCUCAUAGUCAAUUAUUGGCAUCAGUUGAAAUUCGAACAAAUUGUAAUGAAACUAUGGAACAAGGAGAGGAAGCCUCUGUGAAUGAACUAAAGACAAAAGAACCUGAUGAAGAGGGGAGUUAAAUAAGAAAAAAAUAAAAAAAGUAGAAUUUCUAAAAAACUGAGAUCAUGCAAUGGAUACAGUGUGAUUUGAUACAUAAUAAAAAAAUUUUAAAACAUGAAUGAGUCUGAAAGUUUUGAAUUUCAUAAUAGAGUCCAUUACAACUCUUCAAAUUAUUUUUUUUAAAGAUAUAUUUGAACAUAUUUUACAAGAAAUAACAAAAUUUGCUACGUUCAAGAAUUCUCCAGUAACUUGCUACGGCAUCAGUCCUCAAAGUUUAGUCAAUAGGCACUCUAAGCAACAGAAGACAAUUAUUCAAGUACAAAGACCUUUGAUUAUUGCAAAAUAUACUACAUUUAUGGGUUGCAUGGAGACUGGAUGGGGAUGUAGCACGAUACAGAAUUGGCAUCAGAAGUAAAGGUGGUAUUGGGCUCUUUUUACUUGGCUUUUAGAUGUAUGCCUACAUAACGCGUGGGUACUUUAUAUUAUAAGUUCUCAAAGGAAAGUUGCGGAAAUAUGGAGUUCCACCUAGUUGUCCUGGUAAGCCUGCAGUAAGCAGGAAUGUCUGUCAAUGAAUAGAGAGUCCGAGAAUCUUCGAUAUGACAAAAUUGAACAUAUUGUUGUUCCAGUCUCUAACGGUAAAAGACGCAGGUGUGCUGGAGAAAGGUGUUCAUCUAUGAUACACAUGGUAAAAAAUGUGAUUUAGGUCUUUGCAUUGAGUGUUUUGACAUAUUUCAUACACAGGAGCAAAUACGUAAUGUAUAUAGGUAAUCUACCUGUGUGACCAUAUGGUCACAGCAUUUUUUCUUAUGUUUAUAAAAAAAAAUUAAUAAAAACAUAUUUUUACGUUUAUUUAGAUUCAUUCCAUUGUCAUCUGCAGUUAUAUUUAUGAAAAAAACAUAUUUAUCGAUAUUCUGGUAGAAAAUGGGUUAAUGGCGGUACAGGCUCGGUUUUUUAAUAUUGUAUUUAAUUACAAAGUAAUUUCCACAUAUUCAUAUAUUUUUCAAAUUGAGCUCUGUACCGCCAUUCUUUAUUAUAUUACGAAUACGUGUGCCAAAUAUCUCGAACAAAUAUUCAAAAUUACAGCCGCAAUCUUGGAACGCGUUUUCGCUACCUGUUGAUCGCUACUGUUUCACCUUAAUAUUUAAUAGUCGAACAGUUCAAUAGUCAAUGCAUUUUUCAUAUAUUUGAUACAAUUUCUUCAUUUUGCUUUAUUUUAUGUUUUUAUUUUAAGUUCAAUAAAUAUUUGUAGCUAUAAAUGCUCAGAAUCAUCAAGAAGCCGUCUUCUGCUAUCACAAUAAAUCCCUGAGAUGAGAUAAAGAGAGAUUAACUGUAUUUUGUAUUUUACAUUAUAAAAUAUUUUAAUAUUGAAGUACGGUAUGGGGCAAAAUAAAUACAGUCAAACCCGCUUAUUAGAGUACCGCUUAUAGGAAUAUCCCGGUUUAUGGAAUAAAAAUUCGAGGUCCCGAAACCUUUUCAUUUACUCAUUAAUAAAUUUAUCCGUUUAUUGGAAUAUGAUUUAGUAAGAUAGUACCGCUUUAUAGAAUAUUCUUCAUGUCAACGAAUUAAUUUUUACCUACAAUUUCCCAAAAAUUUAAAUUAUGUCUGGUAUCAUGGAUUGUCGACAAAGGCCUCGAAAGCAUAAUAUAGUGCUGUUUAAAUUUUUAGGGUUUGUCAAGUAAUACACUUUAUUACUUUAUUACUUUGUUAUGAGUACGAAUUCAAUCGUUCGCCGACACAGCUAAUAAAAUAAUUUCAUUUGUCUGAAAAUUUCUUUACAUAGUGCCACCCAUUAUAAAAACAUUUUUAGAAACAAGCUUAUCGGCUAUCCUAACCGCUCGUAGGUAAGAAGUUCUCUGGAGGGUCAAUCCAAUGGAAAUUUUUCUAAUUUUAUAAUUUAGAGCAACAAUUGAUUAGUAGUUUAUGUAACAAAAAAAAAACAAGUACAAUUACCUAUUAUUUUUCAAGACAAAAUAAGUAACUCUUUCAUAUGUAUUUUAAUAAGAAAAUAUUUACACAUCUAUAUUGUAUACAUUUCAUAUUAUUCCUGUAUGCAUCCACAUUAUAAUGCAAUUUGGUUUUUAAUAAAUAAGUACCUAAUAGUUACACUACUGUAUUAUUGACAUAAAAAGACCUAAAACCAUAUACAUAUUAUACAUGUUAACAUAGUAUGUACCUACUAUCAUUACGUAUAUUCGGUACAUUUAUUUCGGCUAGCCACCAACGAUCGGUUAUUAGAAUAUCUACGAAGGCUAUUCCAAUAAGCGGGUUUGACUGUAGUACUGAAUUUCGUAUGCCUCAAAUUUGUAUGUUUUAGGGGCCGGAACGUGCUGAGUGGCUUCCGAACGUCGUUAUAACGAAUGUGAAUGUCGUGAUAAUGUUAGGUGCUUCAGAAUGGUCCUCAGUUUUGCAGAAAAAUAUUUUAUGAUGGAGUACUAUUUUCAGUCAUACGGAAAAUGUCACGAAAACGGUCCAAGCUUAAAAUCAACAAUUGUUUCAGCAGAACGGAACAACCUCUCACACUCCCAGGGAGUCUGUUCGAAUACUGCGCGAUCAUUUUGGGAGUUGCCACUCACCAAAACUAACGCCACCAGAUGCGUACAUAUGGGGAAUGCUGAAGGAGUCAGACAUAUUCACUGUCUGCCAUUUCGGAAUUGCGGACCAGCAUUAAAGAUUUUUUUGUGCCAGUGGCAGUGGCGGAUCUAGAAAUUUGCCUUGGGAAGGGAAAUUUGUCUUAGGGGGGAACUUCCAACGAAAAACCAAACAAACCAAAACACAUAAAUAAUAACUUAUAGGCAUUAGGUUCCCUUAAUUUUUCUAACUAGCGUGUUUAUUGGGUUUAAUUUGUCUUUCUGUGGUUUCGGUUUCAUAUCAGCCGAUAUAUUUUUAUGUUUGAACAAAUUUUUCCUUUAAUUUUGGACCUUGUUAGGGGGAAAAUUUCCUCAUUUUCCCUCUCCGUAGAUCGGCCACUAGCCAGAGGGCAUCUUUAACAUCUGUUUUAUCGGAAACGUGCGUCGUCGUGAAUAAUGUAUAUUAAAUAUAAUAAAUAAUCAUAAACAUUUCAAUAUUCAUUUCAGUACUGUUUAUUUUGCCGCAUACUGUAAUUCAAUAAAUAAUAUAGUUUUUCUAAGGAUGCUAUACAAUGUGAAACUUCUCUCACUACUUACAUACAUUCAAAACGAACAAUUUCUCAGGCUGUGAGAAAAGUCGGCCAUUGCAGUGAGAAAUAUUUUUUCUCAUGGGUUCCAUACGUAGAAUCGCGGUUUCCAUGGUAACAUGCACAAUACAAACACAAAUAUUUUUGUCAAAUAAAAUGUGUCAAAUCAAAACUUACCAGGAAUUACCUUUCAAACCUGUUUAAAUAUAGCUGGUAACUAUAAUUUUAAUUAAAUAAAAGUAUAUAAAUAUUAAGAAUAUUAAAUACCUACAAUAUGUGUAUUGAAGUUUGAACUCUUGACAAAAACGCAUCCAUAGAAAAAGUACAGUGUACAACACGUGAGAAAACGACAUAUUUCUCCCUCUCUUGAUUUGCGGCAAUCGCCUCGUACCUCGGCUCGGGCCAACAAACUUCUGCCCUCGUGAAAAAUAUGUCUUUUUUCUCUCUUGUUGUACAAUAUACUAUUUUCACUUUAUUUAUUCAGUAUCAUCUCCCGAUCUUUAUUUUUUUGUAACAAGGUUUGAUAUUUGAAAUUUGUAGUAUGAGAUAUUACAAAAAGACUCUCAUUUAGACAUUCGUCAAUUUUUUACUGAAACAAGUGUUAAAUAAACAAUAAAAAUGUCAAGUUUAGUUUUUUCUCAUAACUUACACGUUUUUUUUAUUCCUUUUUCACAUGUUAUUAGUAUACAUCUUACCGAAGAAAAUAAGCCCAGGAUUAUUGAGAUCCAUUCUCAGCUAACUUUUCAAAAAAAAUUAAAACAAUUUAAAUUUUACAAAAACUAUUCAACAGGUCUGGCUCAAUUUUUGCACACUAUUCAGGCACAAUAAUACCCUUUAGUUCAGGUAUAUUUAAUAGCUAUUUAACCAAGAAGUAUAUUAAUAAGGGCGAUUAACAAUUGAAAUAUUUUAACACAUGAGCGGGGCGAGCGCGUUAAUCUUCUAGAUUGUUAAUCGCCAUUUUAAUUCAUGAGUUCGUUACAAUACUUUUCCGUCGACUGUACUUUUCAGAAAUAAAGAUAUCUUAGUUUAAAUUUUUAUUUACUUAACGAUAAACAACAAUUUGAGACAAACAAUGACAGAUGGUCUAACAGCGGCUACUUGAUUUUUAGUGGGAAUAUAAAUAGGUAUAUGUUUGGUUGCCUACACCACAGGUCACUGCCAAUCACACAGCGUUUAAUUAAUUUAUGUAAGCAAUGUAUGUUGUGCUGCCUAUAAUUAAAUCGUUCAUUAAUAGAAAAUCAUUCAUUUAUAGGGGUCAUUAAUAAAUGAUUUUGAGGGUGUUAAAAUUGAUCAUAAAUGGACGGUCGACGGAAAACAAAAUUUAAUAAAUAAUGCAAUAGUUAUUAACAAUACUCGAGAACAGCGAUUUUGUCGUUCGUUUUGCAAUAACUUUUUUGUUUAUCCACCCAUUUUACUUUAGCGUCUCAUUUUUUCCAUCUUUUUUUCUGAAAUAGUUUAUUAUUUUAUGCGUCUACUCUACAGGAAUAGUUUCUGAUUAUUUAUAUAAAAUAUUCUAAUAGUUUUAAUGUAAAAAAUAACAGUCAUUUGGCAAAAACAUUUUUGGCAAAAAAAAUAUUUUUUACUUUCUUUGGUACAUGUUAAAAGAAAAAGUUUUACCUUUCAUAUGGUACCAGUAAAAUAACCAUAUGUGCAUUGAUUAACGAUUUAAAUAUCUUCCUAAUUUAUUAGUUAUUAAUGGAAUGUAAUUAAUUGUAUUAACGGAACAAGCUGAAAUUUUCAGAAGUUUUUAAGCACUAUAAGUCCACACUAAAAUAAAGAGUAACUUAAUUUUUAAAAAAGAAAUAAACAAUUACCGAUUUUACAGUCUUUUGCUGUUUUUGUAGCAAAAAACUAAGUUUCAAAAUUUUGAAAAUUUUUGUGAAAGAGGGGUAAUGGUUCACAUAGAACUUGUAAUGGCAUCUGAUUUUACUUCAGAAUUAAUAGGUCCAUAUAUCACAAAACAAGAAGUAUUGCACGCAUCAAAAACAAUGAAGAGCUAACCUGACAAUCUUCCUAUCGAAACACUAAAAAUUAUGGAUAAGAGGUAGAUUCAUGUUUUACUGACACCCUUGAACCAAAUUUAUAGCUCAGGCGUAUUGGUUAACUAAAGGUUAACAUAUCAGUUUAUAGCAACUAAAAAUUGGUUAACGUCGAUCUGUAUUUGUCUUUCCGUGUUCUCUACUAAAAGUCAUCCAUAAUCGAAUAUAUCAUAAACUGGAUAUAGAUAUGAUUGAUAAUGUCGAUCAAGAUCUAUGUAUAUGUAUGCAUGUUAUAUUGACUAUAACAAAGCAUUCGAUAAAGUACGACAUGAACAAUUAAUGAAUGUCCUGAUAUCAAAGAAGUUAGUCUACAUUGAACCCAAGAUCAUAUCGUAUGCUAAAUGUUAACGAGCAGCUCUCAGAGUAAGUCGAAAUUAGACGUGGGGAGAGGCAGGAAUGCGUUUUGUAGCCAAUUAUUUUUAUGCCAAUUCGGAAGAGAUUAAAAAAAAUUCUUGAGGGUGAAACAGCUGGAAUACAGGUAAAUGGAGUUCCUAUUAACAACAUUAGAUAUGCGGAUGAUGCUGUCAACUUACCUAAAAAAUUAAAGAUAUGCCUAGAUUGUUGACAAGAAUAAGGGAAUUAUGGAAAAGACUACGGUCUAAAAAUGAACGUUAAGAAGACUAAAUUCAUCAGAAUAUCGAAAAUUCGAAAUGAUAAUAUUUUACUAAAAGAACAAAUAUCGAACGAGUGUGCAAAUAUGCAUCUUAGAACAAUGAUUAACUCCCAAAAAAGUUUCUUCCAAGAAAUCAAAAUCUUUGUCUUGAAACAAUAAUUAACUCCGCAAAUGAUUAUUUCCAGGAAAUCAAAAUCGGAACAGAAAACGCCAGAGCAAAUUUGAACAAAUUGAGAACAGUGCUCGGUACAAGAGAUUUCAAGUUGGAGCUAAAAGUUAGGUCGGUAGAGGACAAAUAAACAAGCCUCAGUCAUGUCCGGAUGUUUGAGAGAUGUGGUCUGGAGUACAACACCUUUUAAAUGCCAUUGACACAGUGGGAAGAGAGUUUGGCCUAAAUAAAAACUGUUCAAAAACAAAAUACAUGGUAUUUAGCCGUUUGGCCCAUGAAGAUUCACGGUUAUAUGUUGAUGGUCAUAUAAUUCAAAGAGUACCCAGUUUUAAAUAUCUUGGUUGCCAUAUUACUGAACAACUAGAUCCAGAUAAAGAGAUAAAAUGUAGAAUCGAGAUAGCCCGCACGACAUUUUUAAAAAUGAGGUCAUUCUUCUGUAAUGAUACCUUGCAACUUCAACUUCGAAAGCGCAUGAUUAAAUGCUACAUUUGGUCAGUCCUCUUGUAUGGUGUCGAAGCAUGGACAUUAAAAAUAUCCACCAUUAACCGUUUGGAGGCCUUUGAAAUGUGGCUUCACAGACGUAUUCUGAAAA